rnacentral:lncRNA from 1 species
GACCUGGUCCAGGAUCAAGGAGUCGCUCAGUGCAGGACCGGCCCAGAGUUCACAUCCCUGGCUUGAUCUACAGGCUGGAGUGCAGCGGCAGGAUCAUGGCUCACUACAGCCUCUGCCUCCUGGGCUUAAGCAGUCCUCCUUCAGCCUCCUGUGUAACUGGGACCACAGACACGCACCACCAGGCCCGGGAGCCAGCUGAGGAGGUGUGUCAUGCAACUUGCCCCCCCAGCCCUCCCCUUCUAAGGAACCCCCACACCUGCUCUGUCUUCCUGCUACAGUCUCUGAGAAAAGCCCUUUCAUCUGUCAAGAACUACAAAAGUCAUUCUUUAAGUGCUAAAUAAACAAUGAAACAGACACAAAGUUAAAGUUACCUGAUCCAAAAAGGAGUGAAGCCUAGACCCCAGCCCACUGACUCAGUCUCUAAGACCCCUCACUCAAAUCUUCAAUCAACAGUGGAGAUGGCUGUGAGCUCUUCUGAUUCCAGAUGACAAUACUCCUCCCUUUAAUUCCUUGAUAUGUUUAAUUAUCCUGUGAGCAGAACCAGAAGGGACACUCUCACAGCCU